rnacentral:lncRNA from 1 species
AAAAUCAGAUCACUAACAGAGAAAGAACCUGUAUUAAACAAUAAUUAGUCAAGGUAAAUAUGUCGAUGUUAAGAAGACAUAGAUAGAUAGAUAGAUAGAUACACUGGAUGCUAUGGCAAUAGUCAUAAAUCUACAUGUAUUGACAUACAACUGCAUCAUGAAUCCUCAAGAUACAACAGUUCGUAUAUCUCAACCACCUUGCCAUCUUGGGUGCUACUUGAUCAUCCAUUGUCCUGCAAUAUAUGUAUUUGACAAAAAACUUGUUAUAUGUACGCAAAUACACUGCAUCAAAAAAGAAGAUGCUAAUAACAACAUACACCUCGCAUGCUAUUACAUGAUCCUUUUUCCUGUAAUAUAAAUUUGAUAAAGUCAAAAAUUUAGAAUAGAAAUAUAUUGUUCGCCAAUAAUACAAUAUAUAUGUGGAAAGGUGUUGCCCAGGUCACCUGAUAAAGCCAACUUUACCAUUGGAUACAAAGUUAAUAUUCAUGCAUGUAGAUAAGAGCCUGCAACAUAUUUAUCCUCUAAUAUGUGAAUGCAUGGAUGUAAGAUAGGAAAACAAAUUCAAUGUAAAAACGCAUCCUAUGCACAUCAUGGAGACCUUAUCAUGAUCCAACAAAUCAAAUUGUAAGUUGGGCACUGGGGAAAUUACUCUUGGUAAGGAACAAUAGCAAGCAAUUUAUUUGACCUUUAUAAGCUGAUGGUUGCCCCUCUAGAUCCACCAAGUGAUGUGCUGGAGAGGAACAUGUCUACCGAGGAGCUUUUUGGGCGUCAACAACAACCUUUAAGAAUAGGAUCUUCUAUAGAAGAGUUAAAUAAGAAAUAAGAAACUUCAUAGAUGUAUGGUGUAUAAAACUAAAAAUAACAGGGACUUCCUUCUAACUUCAAGAGAAAUUAUGUAUAGUUAACUGUUCCGUAGUGGGGCAUUGCAUUUUAAAACAUGGUGCGCAUAAAAUGGUAGCAUAAUAGAAGUGAUCAUUAAUUAAGUUAAGAAUAUUACAAAAUAAUGUUUUACAAAAAAGGAGAUUAGACAAAGGCUUCGACUUAGAUUGAUAUUAUGACUGUUGCUUCAUGAAGCACCAGUCAGUCAUGGAAAAACAACAGCCCUCCUUUCAUGACAGACUUGCACUAAGAAUAUUCCAAACAGACCUUUGACUUCACUACAUUUAUUGGUUUAAUUCUUAAAAUUUUAGUCUUUAUAGUAUUUAGAAAAAUUAAAUUAGUAACUAACUCAGUUCUGAAACCUAAGAUACUUUUACGGAUAACGUAACUAACUCAGUUCUGAAAAAAAAGCUUGGAGUCACUCUUAUUUGUGUGCUCGGUCGCUUGGGGCAAGGAAUGCUUUUUUUGCAAUAGAAAAAUAGUUGUACAUGCUACACAUUAUCAAAAAAAUAAUAAUAGUUCGUGCAAUUUAUUUCUGCUAAUUCGCUUGCAUAAACUAUAAGUGUGUAACUAAACAUAUACUGAAAUCCUAAAACUUUCUACAUCAGAUGCUUAAUAAUCCUACAUAGAUUGGUAAUUAAAUCCAUUUUACUGCAUGGUCCUCAAAAAACGAAGCGUCAAGCACGGCUAGAAGAUCAUGAUGUGUUGUUUCUACUAUCUCAGAUCUCGCAAAUUUAGAGGAAUGUGCAACAUACCAUGAAGUAACUAUUAUCAAACAUCAGCUAUUUGUCGUUUCCAUGGUGGCUAAUAAUGUACGUACAUCAGGGACAACUUUCAACAUGAUGGAAAAAUACAAAAUUAGUCCUUCCCACUUACAUUAACAUGUAGUGCAUGUGUAACAAAUCUAGCUUGAUAAAGUUUUUCUUGUAAAAUCUAUGUUGUGUCCAAGAUAUCAGAGAUAAUAUUAAUAUGAUUAAAUGUUAACUGCAGCAUUGCACUUAAGAUACAUACUUGCUUGACUUUAGAGUGGGUGCAUGAGUAGCAGGCGAUGAAUGUCCAUGGUGUGAAUAGAUGCGCCAUCGGCCCAUCACAACUCUUUCCCUUGAGAUCCUUAUAGUCUCAUGGAUGUUGCCAUGGCAGCACCUGUGAGAUAAAUUUUAAUCAGAAAAAUAAUAAUGUCUUUUGUAGUAUAGGAAAAGUUUACAUAUAUGCAACUGAUCAGCAGGGUGCAAAAGGGAACAUUAAAUAAGGUAGCCUCAAUCUGUAUCAUUGGAAACAAUUAGGCCGAUAUAAACAGGGUAAAAAUAUAAUGCCUUAUUGUCUUUUCCUAGAGGAAAUAACUAUGGGAAGUACUACAAUAUGCAAAAGUGGAAUAUCAGUUGAACUUAGAAAUACUCACUGGGUGCCUUGGUGUUGUUUCCUCAGAGGAAAAAACUGUAGUAAGCAUCACGAUAUAAAAAUGUUAUUUGGAAUGUUGGUUGAACUAACAUAUAUUCAAUAGGUGUACAAAUAUGGUUUAAUUAAACAUCAACCAAAUGGUGAAGAAACCAUUUUCCACCAUAAAUAGAAUGGAAACAAAAACAGAAAGAUUAAUGUAUCAGGUAGAGUAAACUGAUCAAUUA